UGCCAAGGAUUAAAGUAUAUUAUUUUAUUUACUCUGUCAAUGUUUAUCAAACAUCUGCUUCAUUUUCCAGCUACCAUUCUAGGCACUGAGAACUCAGAAGCAAGCAAAACAAUCCUGCCCUUGUGGAGUUUACAUUCUAUAAAGUUAAACUGUGAGCAAAUAAUAGAAAUUUGUGAGGUGACAAUACAGAACAUUCCGAACAUCAAGAUAGAUAGGGAACAAACAAAGUAGGCCAAAGGAGUUGAGGAGCCAGAGGCAGGCACAGUUGUUGUGUGCUGGAUAGGCCAUGUGAUCAGGCCUCUUUAAUGACCUGACAUUUGAGCAGAGCGAGCCAGGAAGGCCCAAGGGGAAACAUCCCUGGAGAACAGGCCUGAAGCCAAGGCCCUGGGCCAAGAGUGGGCAUGGAGUGAGGAACAGCAGAGGCCAGCCUGUGCCCUGAGGGAGGAGGAAAGAGAGGACGGAGACCAAGCAGAGUCCUUCAGAGCAGGAUAGGUGCAGUAGGGACGAUAGUAUAAAUUCAGCUUGAUCGCAGUGCUAAUAAUAGCACCAAUGUGAAGAGUGUCCGCUAGGGUUAUAUUAAAUCCCUGCCUGUGGUGAGCAGACUUGAAAGGAGAGGCUCAGACACCUAACCAGAACCAGAACCAACAACGACCCAGUUCAGCCAGAUAAGCGCACCAGCAGGAAGCAGCUGUUAUUUUCGGCAGGUCCCACUGAGAGCAUCAUUCUCCACAUCCAGACAGCCAUACUCAUCUUGCCAUCUAACCAGUUCUAAGGAGGCAGCACCAAGGACAAUCAUCAACAGAUGAGGCCACAUCUCAAAACAGAGGGGAGAGUCCUUUCACAGAUUUUGUUACUGGCUCCUUACAACAAGCCUGAACCUUGGGAAAGGUUCUAGCAUUACAAUUUGAAAAAUGAGGAAACAGGCUCACAGCAGUGAAAGCUACCCAAGGCCCAGGUAUACAAGAGGCUGGCCCAUGAUCACAUCUCACACUGUCACACCCAUCUCCCUGAAGAGUCCAACGUUAAAAGUCUCUCAUGGAUUAACAUUCCUUUCUGCUAUUGGGGAGCAACUCCUAAGGCCUUUCUAUGAAAUGACUUGAAGUUCUGCUGAAGCACAAAUUUUGACCCUACAAUGUAAACAGCAAGAUGAGGAAGCAAGCAAUUUAUAGUGUGCUUAGCACAGCUCCUGUGUAUUAAAAUGUCGUUAGCUGCUGGUCAUCUUAUA